AACGAACGCUGGCGGCAUGCCUAACACAUGCAAGUCGAACGAGACCUUCGGGUCUAGUAGCGCACGGGUGCGUAACGCGUGGGAACCUGCCCUUAGGUUCGGAAUAACUCCCCGAAAGGGGUGCUAAUACCGGAUAAUGUCUUCGGACCAAAGAUUUAUCGCCUUUGGAUGGGCCCGCGUUGGAUUAGCUAGUUGGUAGGGUAAAAGCCUACCAAGGCGACGAUCCAUAGCUGGUCUGAGAGGAUGAUCAGCCACACUGGGACUGAGACACGGCCCAGACUCCUACGGGAGGCAGCAGUGGGGAAUAUUGGACAAUGGGCGAAAGCCUGAUCCAGCAAUGCCGCGUGAGUGAUGAAGGCCUUGGGUUGUAAAGCUCUUUUACCCGGGAUGAUAAUGACAGUACCGGGAGAAUAAGCUCCGGCUAACUCCGUG
rnacentral:rRNA from 1 species